UACGUAGGGGUCUAGCGUUGUCCGGAAUUAUUGGGCGUAAAGAGCUCGUAGGCGGUUCGGCAAGUCGGAUGUGAAAUCUCCACGCUUAACGUGGUGGGGCCAUUCGAAACUGCCGUGACUCGAGUCCGGUAGGGGAGUUCGGAAUUCCCGGUGUAGCGGUGAAAUGCGUAGAUAUCGGGAAGAACACCAGUGGCGAAAGCGCUCUACUGGGCCAUAACUGACACUGAGGGACGAAAGCUAGGGGAGCGAAAGGG
rnacentral:rRNA from 1 species